rnacentral:tRNA from 1 species
GGGGUUGUGGCUCAAUGGAAGAGCACUUGCCUAGCACAUGUGAGGCUCUGAGUUCAAUUCUCAGCACCA